UACGUAGGGGGCAAGCGUUGUCCGGAUUUAUUGGGCGUAAAGCGCUCGCAGGCGGUUCGAUGCGUCGUGCGUGAAAGACCCCGGCUCAACUGGGGAGGGUCGUGCGAUACGGUCGAACUGGAGGCCAGUAGGGGGAUGCGGAAUUCCGGGUGUAGUGGUGGAAUGCGUAGAGAUCCGGAGGAACACCAGCGGCGAAGGCGGCAUCCUGGACUGGUCCUGACACUCAUGAGCGAAAGCGUGGGGAGCGAACAGG
rnacentral:rRNA from 1 species